AGACUAAACGCUUUCCGAUUUUUAUUGACACACGAAGACUCAUUUGCUACGUAAUCCAAAAUACUCAAGAGCAACUGUUAGCCUGGAUCUACAUACUCACAACAUCAGCCAGAAGACUGAAAUUUGAGGACAGCUCUGACUGAUCUGUCUGUGCUGGAAACAUGCUUGGAAUUUAGCAUCAAAAAGACAACAAUUGGAGGAAUAAACAAUACAGCUGGUUUGGGUCUCUGCUGGAGGCUGUCCAUUAAAAAAUUUUGGUAACA